rnacentral:rRNA from 1 species
GACGAACGCUGGCGGCGUGCCUAAUACAUGCAAGUUGAGCGCUGAAGGUUGGUACUUGUACCAACUGGAUGAGCAGCGAACGGGUGAGUAACGCGUGGGGAAUCUGCCUUUGAGCGGGGGACAACAUUUGGAAACGAAUGCUAAUACCGCAUAAAAACUUUAAACACAAGUUUUAAGUUUGAAAGAUGCAAUUGCAUCACUCAAAGAUGAUCCCGCGUUGUAUUAGCUAGUUGGUGAGGUAAAGGCUCACCAAGGCGAUGAUACAUAGCCGACCUGAGAGGGGUAUCGGCCACAUUGGGACUGAGACACGGCCCAAACUCCUACGGGAGGCAGCAGUAGGGAAUCUUCGGCAAUAGACGAAAGUCUGACCGAGAAACGCCGCGGGAGUGAAGAAGGGUUUCGGAUCGUAAAACUCGGUUGGUAGAGAAGAACGUUGGUGAGAGUGGAAAGCUCAUCAAGUGACGGUAACUACCCAGAAAGGGACGGCUAACUACGUG